CCGACAUUCGCUGUUCCAGAUUGUCGGGUUUGGUGAUUGAUCAAAGUUUGGUAGAGUGGGUUCUUCUUGAUAUCGUUAACUCUUCUAGAUUAUCAGAUAAAAAAGAGGGAGAAGAGAACUGGGGAAGAAGGAAAAGAAGAAGAAGAAGAGAGAGAUAAGAAGUGAAUUCCAGACAAAAAGAAGUUCCCUGAUCAUUCCAGAUUUCUCAAACAGUACCCAAAAGGGAUUGGCUGUAGGAUUACAAUUUUACCCUAGAGUCAUCGAUAUAUAAGCAACAUGUCCACUACUUUCUGGUUUCGGGAAGCCUCCAUCAACAUCACCCUUCUCUUCACCAAUAUCGGGAUUACCUAUCAACAUGAGCACCGAUCAAGGCUCGUGAAAUUUGCAGGAUAUUGAUCAUUGUGUGAAGCAGAAGACAAGUGCUUUAGCUUUGAAUACCUUUGAGGUUGCUCAGGUUUUGCUUAUCACUGGUGGAGAUCAAUUUCUCUGUUGACAGUCAGUGCUUUUUUUUACAAUCAGAACAUCCAUGGUUACAAAAUACAAAAAAGCUCCAAAUUUUCCAUUAGGAGAUAUUGCAAAGCCCAGGCUCAAGCAGUUUUCAGUAGUAAGCAGUUCUCAGUAAUAAAUAAAUUUAUGGAAUUGCAGAACACUUUUGUUAACGAAGUAGAAGUAAUCAGGGACAUGUUCACAUUGAUGGACGCUGAUAAAGAUGGCAAAGUAACUUAUGAGGAAUUGAAGACUGGUCUUCAAAAGGUUGGUUUGCAGUUGGCUGAACCAGAGGUUAAGAUGCUGAUGGAAGUGAUAAGGCUGAUGUUGAUGGGAAUGAAUUUCUGGAUUAUGCAGAGUUCGCAACAGUUACAAUU